rnacentral:rRNA from 1 species
AAUGGGUCAGCGACUUAUAUUCUGUAGCAAGGUUAACCGAAUAGGGGAGCCGAAGGGAAACCGAGUCUUAACUGGGCGUUAAGUUGCAGGGUAUAGACCCGAAACCCGGUGAUCUAGCCAUGGGCAGGUUGAAGGUUGGGUAACACUAACUGGAGGACCGAACCGACUAAUGUUGAAAAAUUAGCGGAUGACUUGUGGCUGGGGGUGAAAGGCCAAUCAAACCGGGAGAUAGCUGGUUCUCCCCGAAAGCUAUUUAGGUAGCGCCUCGUGAAUUCAUCUCCGGGGGUAGAGCACUGUUUCGGCAAGGGGGUCAUCCCGACUUACCAACCCGAUGCAAACUGCGAAUACCGGAGAAUGUUAUCACGGGAGACACACGGCGGGUGCUAACGUCCGUCGUGAAGAGGGAAACAACCCAGACCGCCAGCUAAGGUCCCAAAGUCAUGGUUAAGUGGGAAACGAUGUGGGAAGGCCCAGACAGCCAGGAUGUUGGCUUAGAAGCAGCCAUCAUUUAAAGAAAGCGUAAUAGCUCACUGGUCGAGUCGGCCUGCGCGGAAGAUGUAACGGGGCUAAACCAUGCACCGAAGCUGCGGCAGCGACACUAUGUGUUGUUGGGUAGGGGAGCGUUCUGUAAGCCUGUGAAGGUGUACUGUGAGGUAUGCUGGAGGUAUCAGAAGUGCGAAUGCUGACAUAAGUAA